CCCCAUCACUGACAGCAAACACAAUGUCACAGUGACACUGAUGCUGUGGCUUCUGUGCCCUGCCAGGAACAUCUGGUGUCCUGGUGUCUGGCAGCAACAGCUGAUGCUGCACAUGCCUUUUGGAAGAGGAAGACAAAACCACCAUCAGGUUUGAGUGGUCCAGUUGGCAUCUGUGACAUCCAUCCUGCAACAUUCCACAGAUGGAGGUCUUCCUUCUGAGGUGCAGUUUUCAUGCACAUUAGUCACCCUGAGCAGCCUGCACAAAGUUGAUCCUGACCUGCACCGUGCCAUCUUUUGCCAGCAGGCUUCACUGCUAAUCUACCAUGAAGGAUGCUUCAUUUGCCGCCAGCAUGAAGAUGUCACCUAUGCUGUGUGCAGGACUGCCAGUAGCACGGAUGGUCUCUCUGCAGGGGUGGCAUGGAGGAACAGCCCUGCAUCAGAAAGAUGUUUCAAAACACUGUACAAAGAAAAUGAAUGGUGUGCCUGGGGUAGGCUGCUAGGCUCAGAGGAAAGGCUAUGA
rnacentral:lncRNA from 1 species